AUGUAGCAGCUUCUGUGCUUCAUGUGAUGAUGCUUGUGGAUCCAUGAGAGGUAGACCCACACUGGCUAGUGUAGGCUCGGUGGCAGGCAAGUCAGCGGGAUCACUGGCUCAUGGGAACAGCUGGAGCAGGCCUCUCCCUGAGAAGUGCAGUCCAACUUCCACAAAGCUCAAGCCCUGGACCAGAGUUGCUAUAGUUACAGUCUCUGCGGAUGAGAGGCUGCACCUGCUCCAGGAGUUGCUGGAAGAGCAUGGAGUCCCGCUCCUGCCUGCGGAUGGUUGCCAGGUAAUCAAUCUUCUCCAGCUGGAACUCUGACUGCAGGUCCUUGAUUUCUACUUCCGCAGCCCGGAGCUGAGCCAAGGAGAAGUGACCAGGG
rnacentral:lncRNA from 1 species